rnacentral:rRNA from 1 species
GAUGAACGCUGGCGGCGUGCCUAAUACAUGCAAGUAGAACGCUGAAGGAGGAGCUUGCUCUUUCCGGAUGAGUUGCGAACGGGUGAGUAACGCGUAGGUAACCUGCCUGGUAGCGGGGGAUAACUAUUGGAAACGAUAGCUAAUACCGCAUAACAGUAGAUAUUGCAUGAUAUUUGCUUGAAAGGGGCAAUUGCUCCACUACCAGAUGGACCUGCGUUGUAUUAGCUAGUUGGUGAGGUAACGGCUCACGAAGGCGACGAUACAUAGCCGACCUGAGAGGGUGAUCGGCCACACUGGGACUGUGACCCGGCCCAGACUGCUUGGGGAGGCAGCAGUAGGGAAUCUUCAGCAAUGGACGGAAGUCUGACCGAGCAACGCGGCGUGAGUGAGGAAGGUUUUCGGAUCGUAAAGCUCUGUUGUAAGAGAAGAACGAGUGUGCGAGUGGAAAGUUCACAGUGUGACGGUAUCUUACCAGAAAGGGACGGCUAACUACGUG